GACGAACGCUGGCGGCGUGCUUAACACAUGCAAGUCGAGCGGUAAGGCCCUUUCGGGGGUACACGAGCGGCGAACGGGUGAGUAACACGUGGGUGACCUGCCCUCAGCUCUGGGAUAAGCCUGGGAAACUGGGUCUAAUACUGGAUAUGACUCCACGGUGCAUGUCGUGGGGUGGAAAGCCUUGUGCGGCUGAGGAUGGGCCCNCGGCCUAUCAGCUUGUUGGUGGGGUGANGGCCUACCAAGGCGACGACGGGUAGCCGGCCUGAGAGGGCGACCGGCCACACUGGGACUGAGACACGGCCCAGACUCCUACGGGAGGCAGCAGUGGGGAAUCUUGCGCAAUGGGCGAAAGCCUGACGCAGCGACGCCGCGUGAGGGAUGACGGCCU
rnacentral:rRNA from 1 species